rnacentral:rRNA from 1 species
AGGAAGGCUCUUGGGUUGUAAACCUCUUUUCUCAGGGAAGAACAAAAUGACGGUACCUGAGGAAUAAGCAUCGGCUAACUCCGUGCCAGCAGCCGCGGUAAUACGGAGGAUGCAAGCGUUAUCCGGAAUGAUUGGGCGUAAAGCGUCCGCAGGUGGCAUUGAAAGUCUGCUGUCAAAGAGUCUGGCUCAACCAGAUAAAGGCAGUGGAAACUACAAAGCUAGAGUACGUUCGGGGCAGAGGGAAUUCCUGGUGUAGCGGUGAAAUGCGUAGAGAUCAGGAAGAACACCGGUGGCGAAAGCGCUCUGCUAGGCCGUAACUGACACUGAGGGACAAAAGCUAGGGGAGCGAAGGGGAUUAAAUA